AUUGAACGCUGGCGGCAGGCUUAACACAUGCAAGUCGAGCGGGGUGAUGGUGCUUGCACUAUCACUUAGCGGCGGACGGGUGAGUAAUACUUAGGAAUCUGCCUAUUAGUGGGGGACAACAUCUCGAAAGGGAUGCUAAUACCGCAUACGUCCUACGGGAGAAAGCAGGGGAUCACUUGUGACCUUGCGCUAAUCUAUGAGCCUAAGUCGGAUUAGCUAGUUGGUGGGGUAAAGGCCUACCAAGGCGACGAUCUGUAGCGGGUCUGAGAGGAUGAUCCGCCACACUGGGACUGAGACACGGCUCAGACUCCUACGGGAGGCAGCAGUGGGGAAUAUUGGACAAUGGGGGGAACCCUGAUCCAGCCAUGCCGCGUGUGUGAAGAAGGCCUUAUGGUUGUAAAGCACUUUAAGCGAGGAGGAGGCUCUUUUGGUUAAUACCCAAGAUGAGUGGACGUUACUCGCAGAAUAAGCACCGGCUAACUCUGUGCCAGCAGCCGCGGUAA
rnacentral:rRNA from 1 species